UUUAGGGAAAGGCAGUUUAAAUCUCCUGCCUGUGGAUACUUUGGCUACUGUGUGUUUCCCCAGGGUCAGGUCAGAGAACAGGUCUUGCUCAUGUACCUGCCAUGUGGGAUCGGCUACUACGUUCAAAGGGAAAGGUACCUUGGGGCAGGUAGCACUACCUGGGGACACAAGGGGAAGGGACAUUGAACUGACCGGAUUUAUUCUACAUGUAUCCACCCAGUGUGGGACUGUGGCAUUGAGAGACUGUGCCAGGGGUUGAGAGUCCACAAAGGUAAUAAAAGCUAUAUUAUGUGAUUUGCAUUUACAGUUACUAAAUACAGUUUACAUAAAGUUUAUAUUUGUUUUAUUGCAAACUGUAUGGUUUUUUUCCUAGUGGAAAUCCUAUGAUGUUUUCUCCUUCCUCAGUGUUCUCUAGGUGGAGGCUCUGCACUGUAAAUCCCAGUUCCCAGUGCUUUUCAUACGCAAAUGGGACUCAGGGCCCUGGAAUGCCAAGGGUUGAUUGCUAUUUACAGAGACACUAACCAAAUUAGGGUUAUACAAACUUUUAACACUGAAAGAGAACUCAACCCCCAAAAGCCCCAGUCUACUAACCUAGGUAGUUCCCUCCUCCCUGCUUCCCCCCCCGCAUACUUCAGUAGCCCUAAAAUAUUUCUCCCCUAUCAGUGCAAAGUAAGCAGAGCGGAGUUCAUGGGCACCAUCUUCCGGAUCUUCGGAUUUCUUUGGGUCCUCUUCGGCAAUUUCCAGCGAUUUUGGUGCAUUCACAGUCAGUAUGGCCCGGAAGACUGCUCCAACUGCUUAUGCGCCAAUACGGUGCUCUAUUAAAGAUGAAGACUGGUGAUCUGGAAGAUGAAAAAGACAGCAGUGGCUUUGUACAGCACUUCUAUCAACAGCUGCCAGGCUCCUACUCUUCUCUAGGACCCGUGUUCCAAACAGCAGCACACAAUGACAUCCUUAUAGUAAUGAUGAAACCAACUGUUGUUAACCCAUUUUUACACAAUGUGCAGAACUACCACAACCAGUUACUUUCCGAGACUUGUGUUUAAAACAAUGGUGGCAUCAUAUUUAGACAGAUGGUGGUGUUUUGUAUAUACACACUCAGAGGCAGAACCAGGGGCAGGGGGUGUUGGGCCUUCAACCCCUCGGGGCCCGUCGAAGCAAAUAUGUGAAGAAGAUUUUUGCACGUCCUGCAUGCCCCACCAGUGCUGGUUAUGUUACUGUAUACACUGUUAUAUUGGAAGGCAUAGUCACACCCUGCACAUUUAUUUCUUAAGGCUAAAAGGAGAUGACGCAGGAGCUCAAUGGUUUCAUAUUGUCUACAAAGACAAAUCAAAAUUAAGAACAGUUUGCUUGUAAUAUUCCAAUUAUAUGUGUUCUGGAUUUACAGGCAGGUGCCAGUGCCUUCCGUUUGCUACAGUGAUUUCUCUACUGGAAUGAAAUGAUCAGUAUACCGAAACCUGGUCAGGGUGUUCUUAUUUUGAAUGUAGAGUUAAGGUGGUGGGUCUGUGCCCAAGGUCUUUGUUGAGUCUAGAAUAUCACUCGGAGAAGCAUUUAAAAUCAUCAUUUCGCAGAUCCCCUUUAAAGCAUAUGGUUAUGAAGUUUUUUUUAACUAAGCUGCUUGACAAUAUUAAUCAUAUAACCACUGUUAUGUAAGACUACUGAUCCUCUGUAAUGACAAGUUAAAAAAAUAAAAAUAUUAAUGUUUUGGAA